AGAGGAGCCUGGAGACAGGUGCUGCAUGGCUGUCGUCAGCUCGUGUCGUGAGAUGUUGGGUUAAGUCCCGCAACGAGCGCAACCCUUGUCUUUAGUUGCCAUCAUUCAGUUGGGCACUCUAAAGAGACUGCCGGUGUCAAACCGGAGGAAGGUGGGGAUGACGUCAAGUCCUCAUGGCCUUUAUGACCAGGGCUACACACGUACUACAAUGGCCGGUACAAAGGGCAGCCACUUAGCGAUAAGGAGCCAAUCCCGUAAAGCCGGUCUCAGUCCGGAUUGGAGUCUGCAACUCGACUCCAUGAAGUUGGAAUCGCUAGUAAUCGCAGAUCAGCACGCUGCGGUGAAUACGUUCCCGGGCCUU
rnacentral:rRNA from 1 species